CCCAGAUACAAAAGGGCAGUAAUGUGGCAGAAUCCUCUCUAUCCUUUGUGUCUGUACUGAGGAGUCCCAGACAGCUGCGUGUCCUGUUUGGAACCAGGAAUUCAGGAAGAAUAGCCAACAUUCCUUGCAUCUUAUUUGAUUCACCUCUUCCGUCAGCAUUGAGGGAGGACAUUCCAACUGGCCUGACCCUGAGGAAUUUCUUGCCCUGACUCUUCCCUCCAAGGUGCUUAUGAAAGUUGCAAAGGGAUGGUGAGCUGAGGACCGCGGGUGAUAUGCCUUCAAGUCGUGGCACCUGCCAGCCCCUCAGUCUCACUGCAGUACAAUUGGCAACAGACUUCUCUGAGCACCAGCCUAAUAACUUAGAAACUUGGAAUCUGCAGACCAGCCUCCUCCAGUCUUUGAUCUGACACAAGCUGCAAAGGCCUGAGCAAGGUGGCCUUCUGGGUCUCAGCCUUCUCUCUAUAGGAUGUGAUGUCCAGACCAGAUGGUAUCUAAGAUUCCUUCUUCUUCAG